GACUAGCGUCCCAUGCCAUCAGAAUUUCUCCACCGUAAAUGAUGAGGCUGUCCAGUUUUCUUUUCUCCUUUCUUCCCCUGUUUUUCUGUUGCGUGAGCCAUGCUGGUGUGUGUGUGUGUGAUGUUGGCUUUUCUCUCCUCUGUCUCGUCACCAGUGAGGUGGGCUGCUAAAAUCCUUGCCUUUCUGUCAUUCGUCGCACCUCCUCUAUUUGUAUCCAUCGUGGUUGCUGCUGUUAGACCUUUCUCGAGCAGCAACGUCGCUGGCACUGGUUCAUUUACGUCGUCGCCAUUUCAGUGGUCAUGGGGCACAUCGGUCUUCCCUUGGUUCUGUGUCCUGGUGCCAGAAAUCUCUCCCUGAUUCACGUUGGACGAGUAUAGUAACUUGUUGGAGAUGAGAGAAUUCCAAAUCCUCUGCUCUGCGAUCUCCGGCCUCUAUUUUUUUUUCGUUCACCUUCACUUCUUUUCUAUUCAUGUUGGCGACCAGAUUAGGAGGGGUAUCUGCGUUCUACAUCCCUGUUCACAAGCCCAGAAUCUCCUUCUAUUUGCUGUUGCCAUUGCUAAGAUACGUUAGCUGAUGUUGUGCCUUCCGUUAAUCCUUGAGGGGCUGAAAUAUUCAGUUGAGAUCAAACUUCUUUUAAUCAUCAUCUACCUCUGCCAAAUCUGAGAAGGACAAGGUCUUAACAACACACCAUUAGCUGGUCUCCAUCUCCACUUCACUCCAGUUCAUUGCUAUCUCUUGUUCAUAGGUAUCGAAGACUCGCCAUCUUCGUCUCUAUCAAUUUUUAAGUAUCGAAAAUGCAAUGUUGCCUCGCCUCUUCUGGUUGCUCUUGUUUUUGUUUUGUGGCUACUCCCAAGUACUUUUAUUCUUCUUUCCCUUGCAAUGAAUGUGUUGUU